UGCCGCGGAUCAGGAACCCUCCCACCUCCCGGGACAUGAGAAUUUCUUCUGCAGCGCCACGGCUGGCGUUCUCCUGGAACCAGCUGCACACAAACACCACGGAGAAUAAAACGGAACAUAGCCUUUAAGAAUGACUUCAACAGAAGAAGAACAUACUGAAAUCAUUCUCAUGGCUGUCACAAGGUUGUGAUCUAACAGGAAACAUGGCAAGCACAUCACACACACAACACUGUUGCCAAGCAUAUUAACAAAUUCAAAAAGUCAGUCCCAAAGUGUUGUGGACCAGUUGAGAAGAAGUGAACAUAUGAACAUCCCCUGACGAAGGCACAACCCACGUGGUUCUGGCAAACAUGGUCCCCUAUCUACUGUACGGAGACUUUUGGGACACCCUGUAUUUAUAAGAAUUCCACAUAAUUCAGGGAGAUUUCUGUGAAUCGGAAUCUGAUUUGUGCUUUGCUGCAUUGUGGUAAAAAAAACAACAAAAAAAAAACACUGCCACAGGAAAUGGUCUUAACAGGAAGACCGCUGCUCUGAAGACCUUCAUGACUGAGUGUGAGUUAAUAUACGUUUAUAUGAAUUAGUGUGACCUCAUAAAAUGUUUGAACAUUCUGCAAAAUAUCUGCAAAAAGUUCUGAUGCUCAAAAAUGGA